rnacentral:rRNA from 1 species
GCAGCAGGCGCGAAACCUUUACAAUGCACGCAAGUGUGAUAAGGGAACUCCAAGUGCCAUUGCUUUUUGCAAUGGCUUUUUUUGAGUGUAAACAGCUCUAGGAAUAAGAGCUGGGUAAGACAGGUGCCAGCAGCCGCGGUAAUACCUGCAGCUCAAGUGGUCUGGAUUUUUAUUGGGUCUAAAGCGUUUGUAGCCGGACUCGCAAGUCUUCUGUGAAAUCUGACGGCUUAACCGUCAGGCGUGCAGGGGAAACUACAAGUCUAGGGACCGGGAAGGGCCAAAGAUACUCUAGGGGUAGGGGUGAAAUCCAAUAAUCCUUAGGGGAUCGCCAGUGGCGAAGGCGUUUGGCUAGAACGGGUCCGACGGUGAGGGACGAAAGCUAGGGGAGCGAACGGGAUUAGAUACCCCGGUAGUCCUAGCCGUAAAUGAUGUGGACUAGGUGUUGCAUUCCCCUUGUGGGAAUGCAGUGCCGAAGGGAAGCCGUUAAGUUCACCACCUGGGAAGUACGGUCGCAAGGCCGAAACUUAAAGGAAUUGACGGGGGAGCACAACAAGGGGUGGAGUCUGCGGUUUAAUUGGAUUAAACGCCGGAAAUCUCACCGGGAGCGACAACAGUAUGAAGGUCAGGCUGACGGUCUUACUCGACUCGUUGAGAGGUGGUGCAUGGCCGCCGUCAGUUCGUGCCGUAAGGUGUUCUGUUAAGUCAGAUAACGAACGAGACCCAUGCCAUUAGUUGCUAUCUGUUCCUUAGGGGGCAGAGCACUCUAAUGGGACCGCUGCUGCUAAAGCAGAGGAAGGUGUGGGCAACGGUAGGUCAGUAUGCCCCGAAUCUCCCGGGCUACACGCGGACUACAAUGGUUGAAACAAUGGGCUGCUACGCCGAGAGGCGACGCUAAUCUCUAAAUUCAAUCCAAGUUCGGAUCGAGGGCUGUAACCCGCCCUCGUGAAGCCGGAAUCCCCAGUAAUCGGACGUCACUAUCGUCCGGUGAAUAUGUCCCUGCUCCUUGUACACACCGCCCGUCAAAUCACCCGAGUUAGGUCUGGAUGAGGCCUCAGUUUUUGCUGAGGUCGAAUAUGGGCUUAGCAAGGGGGGUUAAGUCGUAACAAGGUAUCCGUAGGGGAACCUGCGGAUA